UCCACGCACAGCUUCCGUCCCCCGUCAGUCCACGCACAGCUUCCGUCCCCCGUCAGUCCACGCACAGCUUCCGUCCCCCGUCAGUCCACGCACAGCUUCUGUCUCCCGUCAGUCCGGUACUCCAGCAGCGGUGAAAAUCUCCUCAGUUCUUGUCUGUUCCAUCAGGCCAGCCCACCAUCUGAGCCCCAAACUCGAGUGCUCACCCUGCAGCCCGGGUUGGGAUGUCUGUGCUCCAGGCUGGAGACCACAGUGAACCUCCGCACAGAUGUGCCUCCACCACCAGCUGUGUGCCUGCUGCUCUGUAGCCCCUGGGAUUCACAGCUCUCUCUCCCUCCCUUCCUCCCUCCCCCACCCUUCUCCACAGCCUUCCUUCCUCCCCUCCCGCUUCACAAGAGCACAUUGAACACCACCUCUGUCAUGUCCCAAGCCAGGCACCAAGGUCACAAGCAUAUUCCACUCCUCCCACCCUUCAAGUGCUCACAGGUUACUGGAAGAGAAACAAGUAAACAGGUCUUCAGGACACAAGAGACACAGCACAAUGACAGAGCUAGAACCAUUCUGGAUGCAAAGGAGAGAAGUUGAUUCAUCGCAACAACAGAUGCUGUCGGCCCUUCGGGCUGAAUUCCCGGGACCCACAUCUCAUCCUGCUUGUCAAACCUCUUGAUUCAGUGAAUCCCUGGUUCAUUCAGAAAACAAAACUCAUCACUUUCAAAGCCAAAGAAUCAUCAUGAGGAAGCUUCAUGUACAUUUCCAAAAUGUAAAAGAAAAUAUUCCAAGAGCACUGGUCUUCGAAACAGACCGCGGAGGGUUAAAAGCCAAGGCCUCCUCCCACAAAUAAAAGAAACCCAAAAUGUUCUACCUGUUUUAUCUAAACAACGACGCAAUAAACAGCUUGAAAACUUAUCAGGUAUUGAGAAAUACGUGGUUUAUCAAGGAAACCCAAGAUAAGAGGAAGGCAGAGAAACAACCGCGGUCAACAAGCGGGGGCUGUGGCGCCCUGGGGGCUCCGCAGUGGGUUCCUCGGGCUGAGCACUGAACAUCAGCACUGCCUGGGGGAAGCUCGUUGACUACAGCAUCUUAGGCCCCACCGAAGAGAGGUUGGAGAUGCAGCCAAGGAUGGCAUAAUUGUAACCAGUUCCCCAGCUGAUCCUUAUAAAGAGGCAGAUUUGGGAACCGCCACUGCCACCCAGCACAAAUUCAGUCCUGACUCCCUUCCUGGGGCUUCAGAAGGCAGGAGCUCUUCCCAAGGACGCUGCCCAGCUCCACCUGGAGCCAGGUGAGGGUCCAGAGGCACAGCGCCCAGCCCUUGUCUCACAAAUGUACUACAUACACAUGUGCACACACACAAUUAAUGUACAUAUGCAUACAUGUGUAUUCA